GGAAUAUUGGACAAUGGGGGCAACCCUGAUCCAGCCAUGCCGCGUGUGUGAAGAAGGCCUUAGGGUUGUAAAGCACUUUCAGUGGGGAGGAAGGCCCGUUGGCUAAUACCCAUCGGGCUUGACGUUACCCACAGAAGAAGCACCGGCACACUCCGUGCCAGCAGCCGCGGUAAUACGGAGGGUGCGAGCGUUAAUCGGAAUUACUGGGCGUAAAGCGCACGUAGGCGGCCUGUUAAGCUGGAUGUGAAAGCCCCGGGCUCAACCUGGGAACUGCACCCAGAACUGGCAGGCUAGAGUAUGGUAGAGGUGAGUGGAAUUUCCUGUGUAGCGGUGAAAUGCGUAGAUAUAGGAAGGAACAUCAGUGGCGAAGGCGACUCACUGGACCAAUACUGACGCUGAGGUGCGAAAGCGUGGGGAGCAAAC
rnacentral:rRNA from 1 species